GUUCUGUUAUGAGACAUGCAUGUCACACUUCAGAAGAUUUUCAACUCUGAAUGUGGAUUACAGUUAUGUACAAAGGCAACAAAAAGGCAUUAAUGUAAUUAUGUUGAGAUUUAAUUGUAUUAAAAAGUCAGACUUCAUAAACAUGCUCAUUGAGCUGAGCUGUACUCUUAAUAUAUUUUGAUUGUUGGAACUGGGCAGUUGUCACUCAGUUGUCAUGUAAAUAUCCAGGACUUUCUUGACACUUUGCUUUGCAGAUCAUAUGUUGGAUAUGCCAGCAAUAACUUGGGCAGCUAAUGAAUGUCACUGAAGCUGUAGAUUUUCUGUCUGCCAUUUUCCAUCAUAGUGCACAACUAACAGCCCAACUUCUUUUAUAAUAAGAUCAGAUCACAUCCACUCUGCUGAUUCAAAUGAAAUAAAUAUAAUUUUAUCUCUAAAGGACAUAAGUUAAAAUGUUUCAAAAAGUCUUAUGUUGUAAUGCAUUUUCUGAUAAGAUGCAUUUGCAUUUGACAUACAUGUCAGUCCAAGACGCACUUUAGCUUCCCACAGUACACUUGCACCUCAUCUGACUCUGGCAUUGCCUGAGUAUAAUAAUCCUCUGGAGUCUUUGGGGACAAAACACAACCUUAAUACUGUGCCAAACUGCCCUGGGAUGCUGUGAAAUCCCUACUGGGUAUUAUGGUCUCUGUCAUCAGAAACUGUUUCAGGACAACACAGAUAAUAUUACAACCCUGGUGUAUUUGACUGCAUCUUACCUCAACUACUAAACAGAUUGGCUUCACUGUGCAAAAUGUGCAUGUGUGUGGUAUUUAUAGUAUGUACAUAGUUCUUUUUCCUGCUGGAAUAUGUGUUUCUGUUUAAGAUUGAGAGCUUCCACAGUGUAGUACUGUGUGGCUGGCCUGUGCCUCUCUUCUGGUUUCUACUGCUUCCAUACUUUCCAGUUCGAAUGUUGUUAAGAUACUCCUGUUAAAAAGGAGGGGGCCUUGAAAACUUGCAACAAUGCGAUGCUAAGUGUUUUAGUUUUUUUCUGAUAGGAUUCAACAGAUUAUAAAUUCAUUCAGAUAAGAUAUUUGGUCACUUGACCACCUGUUUAACAAGUCUUACAGACAAUACAUGGUACAAGCACAUAUAAUUUACAUUCUGGCAGAGAUUGUUGUUAACAUACAAAAUCUAUGUGUAUUGAAGUGAAUACAGUGCCAGACCCACAAAACGCUGAAAUGGUUAGCUGUGUGGUGAGAACAAGUGUGUAGCUUGUCGUCUUUGACUUGCUUCUGCUGAUGAAUGAAGCUUGAGUUAGAUGUAGAAGUGCCCUUAUCCUGUACCUCACGCUGUAAUUAAACAGAUUAUGUGUCCAUACACAUUUUUUACAAUCACUGAACUGUACCCAGGAACUUUACACUGGAAUUCACUGAGACCGGAAGUACCUUUUUGUAAUGUUUCUUUCCACAUUUGUGCUCUAGGACUGCUGUUAAACAGUAGACUGUUAGAUAAGUACAAUAGUGAUCAUUUCUAAAAUCAGGCAGGUGGUCUCUUUGGUGUCAAAGCGGUAUUCCUUAGGUAUUGCUGUAGCAUUAUAUCCAGUGUUUUGCAGUGCUUCACAAACCAUGCACUCUUAGCACUGAUCUGAUCUCUGAAGUUGCUUAUUUUAUGCCUGUUCUACGGCCCUUGUGUUGGGUUUGUGUUUUUAUAUAACAAGCUUAUUUUUCUAUGUAUGGGCCAGAGUUGUCACAUGAUGUUGCAUCUGCAUCCCCACAUUACUAAAACGUGUAGUGCCCUUAUGCAAACAAGCCUAAUCAUGGCUAAAGGAAUCAUCUCUCUUCCGUUUGGUGCCCUGAAGUAACAUGCUGAAAUUCUGAUUGUGCUGUGCCUCUGUAAGACUUCUAAUUAGUGGAAGUUAAAUUGGACGUUCACUUACUCCUUAGCUUUUGUUUUCACCUGUUCUGCACUGCAUAGGGAUGUCCACAAUGCAUUGCUCACUUGACUAGAGGCAGUAUUGAAGUUAUACUCACAACUGAAGACCAAUAUGCAAGGACAGAUUUUCAACACACUACUACUGCUGUACAGGGAAGUUUACUUGCAGUUAUUGUUCAUGCUUUCAC
ensembl:lncRNA